AAGCCCAAGUGGCCAGAGUCACUCCUUCACAAAUGUGAGGGAAGUGGUUCGAGCCUCCGCAGACGUAUUAUAAGGGUUUAAUUUAAAUUUCCUUCCUUGGAGUCCCAGAGCUUGAGUGAAGGCAGUCUUUCUCCCAGGAUGAGAGUUGACGUCCCUCGAAUAUUUGAGAGGGUUAAAAAUCUGAGCGUGCCAUAUCAGAAUUGAUGUAAACGGGUCUCAAUAUAUAUAUGAUUGUAAAUGUCAUCAUGAGCAAUAGUUUUCAUUCAAAAAAAAAAAAAAAAAAGAAUCCCUCCAAUAAAAUAUUAGUAAGAUUUGUUUUUUUUUUUUUGAAUUUUAGGUUAUAUCAUACAAAAUUAUUAUAUUACCCAUGAAAAGCUAGAUACAACAGCUGUGAAAGAAAUGUUAAGAGUUAUUUUUUGUAUAAUUAUUGAAAAUACAUGUACUAACUAGAUAAUUAGCUCAAAUUAUAAAAAAACGAAUGAAUAUUUAUCUUAAAUUAACAAUACAAUUUUCGACUUUAACCUAUUGCUUUCUUAUAAUUUUCAUAACAUCUCGUUACCUUAUAAUGUAAAAAAAUUCACAACAAAACUCAUCUUAAUCACAAAAUGGUCACUUUUUUUCUUAUUUUGACAUUAGAAAUAUAAUAGGAUAUUAUAAAAAUUACAAGGAGCUAAAGGAUAAAAACUAGAAGUUGUAGGACAGAAAGUGUCAAAUCUCCCAAUGGACAACGUUUACAUAGCAUCGAAGAUUGAUAAUCGGCAUAAUAAUCAUUAAUCACUCAACAAUUUAGCUAAAUAAAAAUACCUUAUAAUGACCCCAUAAUAUUUCCCUCCAUCGGCCGUACGUGGAGGAGAGUAUUAUGAGUGCUAGCCUAGACACAACAUUCUUCUAGGAGCGAGCACAUUUCCCUUUGGUUCUAAUUGACUUCGAGUGAAACCUAAAUGCACGUUAAUAAUUUAGACUGCAGAUUACUAGGAAAGCAUGGUGGGUCGCUUUUCCAAUGACAUUGGCUUUCUAAAAUCUAAAUUAAUUGAUUGUAAACUUAGUAAUAAGUUUUCUAGAAUCAGAAUCCCUCUUAUAAACCACUUGGGCUUAAGCCCAAGUGGCCAGAGUCACUCCUUCACAAAUGUGAGGGAAGUGGUUCGAGCCUCCGCAGACGUAUUAUAAGGGUUUAAUUUAAAUUUCCUUCCUUGGAGUCCCAGAGCUUGAGUGAAGGCAGUCUUUCUCCCAGGAUGAGAGUUGACGUCCCUCGAAUAUUUGAGAGGGUUAAAAAUCUGAGCGUGCCAUAUCAGAAUUGAUGUAAACGGGUCUCAAUAUAUAUAUGAUUGUAAAUGUCAUCAUGAGCAAUAGUUUUC
rnacentral:lncRNA from 1 species